GAUGAACGCUGGCGGCGUGCCUAAUACAUGCAAGUCGAGCGAACGGACGAGAAGCUUGCUUCUCUGAUGUUAGCGGCGGACGGGUGAGUAACACGUGGAUAACCUACCUAUAAGACUGGGAUAACUUCGGGAAACCGGAGCUAAUACCGGAUAAUAUUUUGAACCGCAUGGUUCAAAAGUGAAAGACGGACUUGCUGUCACUUAUAGAUGGAUCCGCGCUGCAUUAGCUAGUUGGUAAGGUAACGGCUUACCAAGGCAACGAUGCAUAGCCGACCUGAGAGGGUGAUCGGCCACACUGGAACUGAGACACGGUCCAGACUCCUACGGGAGGCAGCAGUAGGGAAUCUUCCGCAAAGGGCGAAAGCCUGACGGAGCAACGCCGAGUGAGUGAUGAAGGUCUUCGGAUCGUAAAACUCUGUUAUUAGGGAAGAACAUAUGUGUAAGUAACUGUGCACAUCUUGACGGUACCUAAUCAGAAAGCCACGGCUAACUACGUG
rnacentral:rRNA from 1 species